rnacentral:lncRNA from 10 species
CCAGCCAUUCCCAAUUGCUAACCUGGGGGGAAGGGGCGGGGGGGACCGAAAGUCUCGCGAGGUCUCAGGCGGUGACAAGAGCUGGGGACAGAAAUACACAGAGUCACGGGGGUGGGGAGAGGAUGGUCAGGGGAAACCCCCCAACACAGCCUCACUGUUGGGGGGAUGGAGAAACGCCGCCGGGAUCAUUUCCUCCUCUCUGGUGUUUUCCGCGGGAGGGGAGCAGUGAAAUGGGGGGCGGCUGAGACAUCAAAUAUGGAAGGAGCUUCCGGGCUGGCUGGGGAGGGGGAGGGGAGGAGGAAGGAUGGGAGGAGGGAGAGUUCUGGGGAGGAGUGGGAGCCAGUGAUCAGGUGAGGGCAGAUGUAGGAGGGAGGAGCAGGGGUGGAGGACAAGCCUGGAGGAAAGGAGGGUCUUGGGAGGACCAUAGGGGACAAUUAGGGAGGGAAGAAGCCUGGCGCAGUGGCUCAGACCUGUAAUCCCAACACUUUGGGAGGCCAAGGCAAGCAGAUCACUUGAGUCCAGGAGUUCGAGACCAGCCUGGCCAACAAAACCCCAUCUCUACUAAAAAUCCAAAAAUUAGCCGGGUGUGGUGGCAGGCACCUGUAAUUCCAGCUACUCUGGAGGCUGACGCAGGAGAGUCACUUGAACCUGGGAGGCAGAGGCUGCAGUGAACCAAGAUUGCGCCACUGCACUCCAGCCUGGGCGACAGAGCGAGACCCCAUUUCAAAAACAAAAACGAAAGGGUUGGGAAGGGAAGGUUGUGGUAGGAGAGACUCUUGGGGGAAGGAGCAUGGGGGGCAAUAGGCCAAAGGGGUCUUGUGGGAGGGAGGGUUGUGGGGCUGAAGGACAGCAAGGAAAAGGCUUGGGGAGGGCUGGAGGGGGAAGGAUCCAGGGCACCAGGGAUAGAAGCUUCAGCCAACCCCAUCAGCUCCAGCCAUGAUUUGAGUUCAAUGAAUGGAUUUUGGCAUCAUAGGCAAGAGAAGCAGGGACCUCCCCCACCCAGCCACCCCCACCCCAAUCCUCCCUCACCCAUAGGCCCACACCCUCUCCCCCUCAAUCCCAUAGGGGCCCCUCUAGACCUGGGGGUGGGGAACAGAGGAAGGUAAAGGACUGGGAGUGGGUGCAAGCAGGGGGAGGAGUUAGAUAGGAGCAGGGAGGGGAGUGGGGGGGUAAUGAGCUGGAAAUGGACAAUGACGGGGAGGUUACAAAAAGGAGAGGUGGGGGGGAUGGAACAAGAGGAGCCAGACAGUCCCCCCUCUGGACUAGGAGCCCGGAAGCCUGGGGUCUCGGCCCUUGUGCUCUGUGGCCUGGGGUGGUGGGUUGGUCAUGGCCUUCCCUGAAUGUCUGUGAAACACAGGGGUUUAGGUGAGGCCAUUCCUGGAAGCCCCCCAGGUUCCCCUAUGGCAUCUCCUUAGGCUGUGGACAGGGAUCCUUUAGGAUGUGUCUCUGCAUUUCUAAAGAAGAUUCCACAGACGGCUGUUGAAUGAAUGCAUGAUGGAUCACAUACCUUCAGGUGGCUUCCCUUCACGUUUAAGAUAAAGUCCCGCCUCCUCACCAUGGCCGAAAAUCCGUCCUGAUCUUUCUCCCUGGACUCCAGCAGCCCUCUCCCCUUGGCCACUGGGAUCAGCCUCACUGUGCUCCUUGCUGUCCCUUGAACAAGCCAAGCUCAUCCUCCACCCCCUCCCCCAGGGAAGCUCAGGGCCUGUGCACUUGCUGUUUCUUCUGCCUGCCUGGCCCUUUUCACCCUCCAGGUUCUGUGUCACCUCCUCAAAAAGUCCUUUGCAGAACUCCUUUUCUUCCCCCAGAGAUGGGGUCUUACUCUGUCCCCCCAGGCUGGAGUUAGUUUGCGGACCCCUUACAAUCUGGAGACUGUAAACCGUGAUGGCAGAUUCACGCUUUGUUUUAUCCCAAAUUUGUAGUGCCUGCAACUGUGUUCUCAAGAAUCAGUUGUGGCCAUGGGUGGUGGCUCAUGCCUGUAAUCUUAGCACUUCGGGAGGCCAAGGCAGGAGGACUGCUUGAGCCCAGGAGUUCAAGACCAACCUGGCCAACAUAGCGAGACCCCAACACUUGAAUCCAGGAGGCGGAGGUUGCAGUGAGCCGAGAUUGCACCAUUGCACUCCAGCCCAGGUGACAUAGCAAGACAGUCUCAAAAAAAAAAAAAAAAAAAAAAAGAAUCAGUUGCUGAAACAGUGAAUGAAUGGAUUGAAUACAUGAAUGAAAGGAGCUAGGAGUUGGCUUGGAUUGUUACAAGGAUUAAAGAAUAUAUGUUAAAUUCCUAGCAUGUGGUAGGUACUUGGUGAUAUUUGCUGAAUGAUUCGUCUACUAAAUAGCACCACUGUCUUAUCCCCCUCACUUCUGCAUGGCCGGCAGCCCCCAGUCUGUCCCUUCUGAUCCCUGACCCCGACUCUCUCGGCCUCGUCCCUUCCUCUCCAUCCUCACAGCCCUGGCCCCAGCUCACGCUUCCACCUGUCACCUCAGCCUCCUAACUUCCAGCCUCCCACCUCCAGUCCAUCCUCACAAGACCCCAGAGCUGCCCCUCCCAGCUCACCUGCCUCCUCCCCAAGCCCCUAGACAAGGUGGCAGCCUCUCAGCCCGGUGCCUGCCUCAUAUCUACCUGAGAAUCCUCCCUCCACAGUCUAGUCUCCUAAGCUCUGUCCUGCGGUUCCCUUCAACCGUUCCUGUCGAUGGGAUUUCUUCCUCUGCGUGUGGUCAGAACUCCUGCUCAACCUUAAGGCCCCACUGCAGAUAUCGAGUCUUCCCUGAUGCCCGGCCCCAUCCCCUGGGAGUUUCUAGUGUUCCUCUCACUGUCUGUGCUCCCUCCAUUUUAGCAUACAUCGCCUCAAACCAUGACUUUCUAGGUCCGUGUCUGCCUCCUGCUCCAAAGCGGAAGCUCCUGGGGGCAUGGUUUUUGUUCACGGUUGAACUCCCCAUGCCCAGUACCUGGGAUGCGUGGGUGCUGUCUAAGCGCUGGCUGAAUUCACAGGGGCAUGGACGGAUGGCUGAGCCUUUCUCUCCCCAUUCUGCACCCAGAAGUGUUCUGGGUAUGCCCUCCGUUUUCCUGAUUGAAUUUUUAAAAAAAACCCUAGGACCAAGGAGGGAGGCAGAGAUGUUGAUGGGGGUGAGGAUGGGGUCGGUCGUGAGGGCAGGUGCAGUGUGGGAGGCAGGGUUGAGUUAGUUCGGGGGUUAGUGAGGAGCAGGGUGAGUCCUGGGUAGGUGGGUGUGGGGUCAGUGUCAGGAGCUGGGGGUUAACUGGGUGCAGCUGCUUGCAGUGAGGGGGCCGAAGUCUCGGUCAGUGGGGGCUGCAUGUUCUCAGAAGGGUUAGUCAGGCAGGAGUGGGGAGUCUGGGGGUCCGGGGGAUCAGAGGGUGGGGGCUACUUACCCCGGGGGGAGGGGGUUCGUCCACUAGGGGGAUAUCCAGGCCGCGGCGUUGGCGUUGAGGUCGGGCAAGAAGCUUGGGGGGCCUGGCUUACGCCAGUCUUGGGGGGGCAGUGGGGGAGCACCAGUGGCUGGGGGUGGGGGAAGAGGCCAGAGAGUUGGGGGGAAUGGACAUGGAAUAAAGACAGGUGAAGGGUCAGUGGUGAGGAAACUUGGGGCGGGGGUACAGGGAAGAUCUGGGAGGGAGGCAGUUUGGGGCCAAGGGAAGGGGGAAGGGAAGUCCACCGCCUCCUCCCCCAUCCCCCUCUCCUCCCUCCCCUGGGCAGGGGAGAGAGAGGGAGGGUCCCAGGGGAUCAGUAGGGGGGGCACCUCACCUUUUCGGAUGGAGCCAUCAGGGGAAGGGGCAUAGUCGGUGAGGAGGAAGCAGGCUCGGUCCCGGCUAUAGCGGCCACGGCUUCCAGGCGUGAUGGGGCUCUUGUCUUCCGGGGACAUGGCAGGCUGGUCAAUGGCUGGGCAGUCCUCGUGGGCAAGCGCAGCUGCUGCCGGAUCCCCAUUGGGGCGAGGAUCUGCAUCCCAAGGGGGUCAGACAGAGAGACAAAGGAGAGAGUGAGGUGCGGUGAACACGCGGUGGGGCAAGAUGUCUGCGAGGAGCAGAUGCUGGGAUGGUCGGCGGAUGUUUGGCACUGGAAGUGGAGAUUCAAGGGCAGGGUGAUGGGAAGGAGUGGCCAGGAGGGUGGCAGGGGGCACAGCUGGGAGAGGGUAUCAAGGGGGCGCGGCUGGGGGGUGAUCAUGGGGGUUGAGUGCUGGGAAGGGCGACUGCAGUUGGGAAGGGUGGUCUGGACAGGGAGUUGGACAGAUUGUGGUGGUGCAGGGAGGUGUUGAGAGCUGGGAUGUGGUGGUGGUGCCAGGUGUGGGGUGCCAGGAAGGGUAGGACUGGGGUGGGAUGCUGUUUAAAGAUAUGGUCUGGAGCUGGCCACAUUGGCUCAUGCCUAUAAUCCCAGCACUUUGUGAGGCUGAGGUGGGAGAAUUGCUUGAGGCCAUGAGUUUGAGACCAGCCCUGGCAACAUAGCAAAACUCCAUCUCUACAAAAAAUAGAAAAAUUAGCUGGGUAUAGUAGUACACGCCUAUAGUCCCAGCUACUCUGCAGGCUGAGGCAGGAGGAUCACUUGAAACUGGGAGGUCGGCCUGCAGUGAGCCAUAAUAGUUUCACUGCUUCAGCCUGGGUGAUAGAGUGAGACCCUGUCUCCAAAAAAGAUAAAAGAUAAAAGAUGCCAGGCGUGGUGGCUUACGCCUGUAAUCCCAGCACUUUGGGAGGCCGAGGUGGGUAGAUCACUUAAGGUCAGGAGUUCGAGACCAGCCUGGCCAACAUGGUGAAACCCCGUCUCUACUAAAAAUACAAAAAUUAGCUGGGCACAGUGGCGGGCGCCUGUAAUCCCAGCUACUCCGGAGGCUGAGGUAGGUGAAUCACUUGAACCCGGGAGGCGGAGGUUGCAGUGAGCCAAGAUGUUUCCACUGCACUCCGGCCUGGGAGACAGAGUGAGACUCCGUCUUGGAAUAAGAAAAAAAAAAGAGAGAGAUGGUUGCGGAUGAAGCAAGCUGGGUGUCGGGGAGAAGAUGAGGCAGUGUUGGGGGGUGGUUGGCUGGAGCAAACUUCAGGGGGCUUGGCUGGGGUAGGGGUAGCGGGUGGAGGCAUGGCUGGAGAGGAUGUGGCAAGCUAGGAAGUGGCUGUUCAGGGAAGAGUGCUGGGCUCUGGGAAGGGCACCAAGGGGAAGGGCUAGGUUAGGUGAGAGAUGGGAGGUGGGACGUGGGGGUCCCCUAGGCUCUGACUCCAGCUAUUUUUAACUGGUGUGAAACUGGGUCAGCGGCUGAGGGAGCAAGAUGGGGGCCAAGUGGCCCAGCUCCCUUUCUUGACCUACUUAAGGCGGGGCAGUGCAGGGGGGGGCCACCAGCCUCUCCUUCCUCCUAGACUCCCAAGCCACUGCCUCUGAGGCAUAGACACCCCCUGGGGGAGGAACACACACAGAAGCACAGGUAACUUUCUUCUCCCUCAUCUCUCGCUUGUCUCUUCCUCUGAGCAGCACCUCUCUGGAUCUCUCUUUGGGACCCUCCCAGGCUGCCCACAGCAAAGCCGACUGACCAGGCCCUGGUUUCCGUUCUGCCCUGGGGGAUCUGCCCUGGCCUGACUCUCCGUUUUGAAGUCUGUCUGCCUCUUGGGCUUGCUGUCAUUAGAACCCAAACUCUCUGCCGCUGACCGCCCCCACCUCCGCCCAAAAUCUACAUCCCAUCUCUCUCUGGUCUCCAUGACAAUCUCUCGGUUUCUGACUCCCCGCCUCAGACCCUAUCGGCUUCAGUCUCUCUUCCCUCAGGGCUGUCUCCCGGAUGCUCAGAUGCUGCUACGUUCCCUGGGGUUCUGCCUCGGGUCUGCCUGUGAUUCCUGUGAGACCCUCUUUCUGUGUCUCUCUGAGCCCCACGCUCCUCCGGGUCCCUCUCUCUGCACAGCUGAUGACACUGCCUCUGCCUCGCCAGCCCCUCUGAAUAUCUUGCAAAUCUGUUUCUCCCCAAAACUCUUUCCCAUGAAACCUAUGUCUCUGUGUGAUUAUCUGUGCCUCCUUCUUCGCCUGAGCUCCUGCUGUUGGUUUUUUUCUCCCUCACCUCUUCGACGCCAACCACCCC